rnacentral:lncRNA from 1 species
GUGGUGGUUAUAAGUUAAAUGUAGACAUGAACAAGUAAGUUUGAGACCACAUCAGUUAGGACUUUAUUUUCUACUCACCCAUUUUUAUUAUAAACCUGAUAAUCAGUUGUUUGUUCUAAGGCAGUUCAAUACUGUCACCAAAAAAAAAGUUCAUAGGGUAAUCUUAAGAUUCUUAAACUUAGUGUCAUUUAUGUAAAUUAAAAUAGAUGUAGAUGAAUACAGCCUCACUGAUUUGUUUGACUAUUCAGUCUGUUUCAGUCUUCUAGUGUUUUAUCUUGAACUGAUACUUAGUGUAAGUGAAAAGGUCAGAGUUGGGAUUCCUGGUUUGAGUAUCAUGCUUUGUCAUUUUAAUGAAAGUACAGUGACUUCAAGGCAUUUUAUGAAUAACGGGUAUACAUUUUACAGCAGUAAAUUUCUUCAGAAAAUAUUUCUGUAGUUAGGAUUAAGUUAUUUACAAUCAAACAAGUCAUUAUGUGGUAAGGGGCUUAAUAUUCCUGAAGGAAAUGGAUAUCUGACUAACGUCAACCAGCUGGUCAGAUUUUUU